rnacentral:lncRNA from 1 species
AACAUAUUGAUACGUCCUUGCACAGAAUUAUCUUUUUGUGAACUGAUAACCAAUAUUUCAGAACAUAAUUUAAUGUAUAUUCACAUCACAUAUUGACAUUCUUACUGUGAUAGAGACUUCGAGGCCUGUAUUCUACCGGGUGACACACAUUAAAAUUUUCAUGCCUAGAUUACAGCAGAAGAGUAUGAGAUAUUGAUAUAUAUCUAAUGAAGUAUUUGCAUAGCAUGGUCUAGCAAAUAACAAAUAAUAAAAGGA